AUAUAAUUAAGCGGAGGAAUAGAAAAUAACAUUUAUUUCCUGAAUAGUGGCGAACGAAAAGGAAUAAGCGCAUAGUGUAAAUCGGAUUCAUAAUCCGAAUUGUACCUGGCAGUUUACUGUAUCCAAAAGAGUAUGUCAAAGUCUGGAAAGUCUUUCCAUUGACGGUGAAAGGCCGUUAGCGUUCUCUCUAGGGUAGUUUGGUUGACUGUAAGCGGAGUCACAUUCUUUGGGCGUAGAAUGUAAAUUGGGUGGUAACUAUCAUCCAACGCUAAAUACUGCAAAGAGACCGAUAGCGCACAAGUA
rnacentral:rRNA from 1 species